UACGUAGGGGGCUAGCGUUGUCCGGAAUCAUUGGGCGUAAAGAGCGUGUAGGCGGUCCGGCACGUCCGCUGUGAAAGUCGGGGGCUCAACCCUCGAAUGCCGGUGGAUACUGUCGGGCUAGAGUGCGGAAGAGGCGAGUGGAAUUCCUGGUGUAGCGGUGAAAUGCGCAGAUAUCAGGAGGAACACCAAUUGCGAAGGCAGCUCGCUGGGACGUAACUGACGCUGAGACGCGAAAGCGUGGGGAGCAAACAGG
rnacentral:rRNA from 1 species